rnacentral:rRNA from 1 species
GUACCUUUUGUAUAAUGGGUCAGCGACUUAUAUUCUGUAGCAAGGUUAACCGUAUAGGGGAGCCGCAGGGAAACCGAGUCUUAACUGGGCGUUAAGUUGCAGGGUAUAGACCCGAAACCCGGUGAUCUAGCCAUGGGCAGGUUGAAGGUUGGGUAACACUAACUGGAGGACCGAACCGACUAAUGUUGAAAAAUUAGCGGAUGACUUGUGGCUGGGGGNGAAAGGCCAAUCAAACCGGGAGAUAGCUGGUUCUCCCCGAAAGCUAUUUAGGUAGCGCCUCGUGAAUUCAUCUUCGGGGGUAGAGCACUGUUUCGGCUAGGGGGUCAUCCCGACUUACCAACCCGAUGCAAACUACGAAUACCGAAGAAUGUUAUCACGGGAGACACACGGCGGGUGCUAACGUCCGUCGUGAAGAGGGAAACAACCCAGACCGCCAGCUAAGGUCCCAAAGUCACAGUUAAGUGGGAAACGAUGUGGGAAGGCACAGACAGCCAGGAUGUUGGCUUAGAAGCAGCCAUCAUUUAAAGAAAGCGUAAUAGCUCACUGGUCGAGUCGGCCUGCGCGGAAGAUGUAACGGGGCUAAACUGUGCACCGAAGCUGCGGCAGCGACACUAUGUGUUGUUGGGUAGGGGAGCGUUCUGUAAGCCUGCGAAGGUGGCCUGUGAGGGUUGCUGGAGGUAUCAGAAGUGCGAAUGCUGACAUAAGUAACGAUAAUGCGGGUGAAAAGCCCGCACGCCGGAAGACCAAGGGUUCCUGUCCAACGUUAAUCGGGGCAGGGUGAGUCGACCCCUAAGGCGAGGCCGAAAGGCGUAGUCGAUGGGAAACAGGUUAAUAUUCCUGUACUUGGUGUUACUGCGAAGGGGGGACGGAGAAGGCUAUGUUAGCCGGGCGACGGUUGUCCCGGUUUAAGCAUGUAGGCGGAGGUUCCAGGUAAAUCCGGUACCUUUUUAACGCUGAGGUGUGAUGACGAGGCACUACGGUGCUGAAGUAACAAAUGCCCUGCUUCCAGGAAAAGCCUCUAAGCAUCAGGUAACAUUGAAUCGUACCCCAAACCGACACAGGUGGUCAGGUAGAGAAUACCAAGGCGCUUGAGAGAACUCGGGUGAAGGAACUAGGCAAAAUGGUGCCGUAACUUCGGGAGAAGGCACGCUGAUAUGUAGGUGAAGUCCCUGCGGAUGGAGCUGAAAUCAGUCGAAGAUACCAGCUGGCUGCAACUGUUUAUUAAAAACACAGCACUGUGCAAACACGAAAGUGGACGUAUACGGUGUGACGCCUGCCCGGUGCCGGAAGGUUAAUUGAUGGGGUUAUCCGUAAGGAGAAGCUCUUGAUCGAAGCCCCGGUAAACGGCGGCCGUAACUAUAACGGUCCUAAGGUAGCGAAAUUCCUUGUCGGGUAAGUUCCGACCUGCACGAAUGGCGUAAUGAUGGCCAGGCUGUCUCCACCCGAGACUCAGUGAAAUUGAACUCGCUGUGAAGAUGCAGUGUACCCGCGGCAAGACGGAAAGACCCCGUGAACCUUUACUAUAGCUUGACACUGAACAUUGAGCCUUGAUGUGUAGGAUAGGUGGGAGGCUUUGAAGCGUGGACGCCAGUCUGCGUGGAGCCAACCUUGAAAUACCACCCUUUAAUGUUUGAUGUUCUAACGUUGGCCCCUNANCGGGGUUGCGGACAGUGUCUGGUGGGUAGUUUGACUGGGGCGGUCUCCUCCCAAAGAGUAACGGAGGAGCACGAAGGUUAGCUAAUCCUGGUCGGACAUCAGGAGGUUAGUGCAAUGGCAUAAGCUAGCUUGACUGCGAGCGUGACGGCGCGAGCAGGUGCGAAAGCAGGUCAUAGUGAUCCGGUGGUUCUGAAUGGAAGGGCCAUCGCUCAACGGAUAAAAGGUACUCCGGGGAUAACAGGCUGAUACCGCCCAAGAGUUCAUAUCGACGGCGGUGUUUGGCACCUCGAUGUCGGCUCAUCACAUCCUGGGGCUGAAGUAGGUCCCAAGGGUAUGGCUGUUCGCCAUUUAAAGUGGUACGCGAGCUGGGUUUAGAACGUCGUGAGACAGUUCGGUCCCUAUCUGCCGUGGGCGCUGGAGAAUUGAGGGGGGCUGCUCCUAGUACGAGAGGACCGGAGUGGACGCAUCACUGGUGUUCGGGUUGUCAUGCCAAUGGCAUUGCCCGGUAGCUAAAUGCGGAAGAGAUAAGUGCUGAAAGCAUCUAAGCACGAAACUUGCCCCGAGAUGAGUUCUCCCUGACUCCUUGA